CGGGUCACAUUGGAUUGAGGCCCAUCCUGAAGACCUCAAUUUAAUUGCCUUUUAAAAUACCCUAUCUCCAAACACACGUACAUUCGGAGGUACUGGAAUUAGAACUUCAACCUGUGAAUUCUGGGGGAACCAAGUUGAGCCCAUAAUAGUGUGUCAUGUUGUAGAACUCCAUGAUCUACCAUUUUCCACCAUGGAAUAUUUGUCCUAGGCACCUUACAGCAAAUCCUCCUUAUCUAUCCUUGUACUUUCUGGGCUUCAGUUACCAAUGGUCAACCUAGGUCGUAAAAUAUUAAACGGGAAAUUCCAGAAAUGAACACUGAGUUUUGAGUGUACAUGGUUAUAAGUAGUGUGAUGAACUCUGCCCUUUGUCCGGGAUAUCCACGCUUGUUACUCAGUGAGCAGCUGCUGUAGCGACCAGAUCACUGUUGGGGUGUCAUAGGGCUGUGCUCAGGUAACCCUUAGUUUACCGGUAACGGCUCCGGAGGGAAGAGUUGUGAUGUUGGCACUCCAGAUGUGCCAGUGAGACACUGUAAAGAGUUUCCUUUAAGUGGAAAGGUUAAAAUCCAAUAAGGUAUUUCAAGAGACCACGUCAGCAUAACUUUUCUUGUAGUGUAUUGCUAAUAUUCUGUUUUUAGUUACUUUUGCCAUCCCCUACUGUGCAGAAUUCAUAUGUAGGAUUGGUACCAUCUGCAGUUUCAGGCACCCCCAGGUUUCAGACUGCUCCCCUUGGAGGAUAACUGGGUCCACUGUAGGAGACCUUGAGCUCCGGGCCGGAGCUGGUGAGUGCCGCCAGCAGUGAGCUGGGCAUCACACUCUGGCCAGAGUCAUCUUGGCAUUGCCACCUGCGGCCAUGUGCAGAGCCCUGAGUGCGGGUGCCAGCACCACCGCCUGACUCGGGCAGGUGUGCUGAGCCCUGUGUGCUCCUGGGUGGAACUCCGGGUGGCCACUGGAGGUUCAUUUGGCGCAUGGUGGGAGCUGCAUGGGAGCUGGUCAGGAUUGUUACUCACAUCAGGUUCGGAGAGGGUGGCGCCCUGCCAGGAAAGCAAUGUUUUCCUGUGCAGAACUGAAGUGUAUUCACGAGCGUGGAAAUGGAGACGUGGUGGUGCUGGACUGAGCUGGACAGGGCCCCUUGGGGCUCUCGUGGAGGCCCAUGCAGGGAGUGCCCGGUGCUCUUCCAGUGACUGCUGCCUCCCUCCAGUCCUCUGAGCUGGGGGCUGGCAAGAUGAGGGUUUCUGUCCCCGUCUCAGAGCCACGGAAAGCCCAGGGAGGCUAAGCGAGGGUGGCAGGGGCACUGUGAGUCCAGUCCUUGUGACUCCCUCUCUGCACGUGGCCUGCGAAGCUGAGGUCCCGCAGCUGUGUCCACUGCCUUCUCUGGGUAGUGAGCAGAACUCAUGUUUCUCUCCUGGCUUCUUUCAUUCAAAACAACUCUUGUGUAUGCCAGGCCCUAGUGUGUCCUCAGGGUGCCUGGCCCUCCUCUGGGAAGUGGUCAGAAGGAGACGUCACAAGCCCACGUGGGCAUCUUCUGAGCUGGGAGCAUUUGCUCCCCGGAAAUCUUCUCUUCUGAGGGUGGUGUUCACCGGGCUGCAGACAGCCCUUUGCCUGCGCCGCCCGUUUCCAAGUCUCACCAUUGCAUUAAGAAUAGCACCAGCCGAGAGAAGGCCCACGUGGCUCUGAGCAGCCCUUCAUGGCACAACCCAGCACGGGCGGGUCACAGGGCAAGCAGGACCCCCCUGACCACGGCAGGUGGAGACUUCGCUCAUACCAGAACACUAACCCGACGGGCAUUAUAAAACAAAGCUCAAGGGUGUUCAUAGGUGUUUAGGGUUUUGUAGAUAACAAGUGACACAACAGGAAACAGCAGAACUGAAGUGGAGGUGUCCAGAGUACUGAUGUGUAACGAGACCUAGCAAGUGUGGCCGGAGCUUAAUGCUGGGCGCAGAAGCAGAGGUCCUCAGAGAGGGGAAAGGGAAUCUCCUGGGGUACAGGCACUGGCAUGGAAGGACAGCCCACACCCCCGGCCCUGCAGGAGAGGGGAGCUGCCCAGGCUAGCAAAGAUUCUGACCCAUUUUGCCACACAUACAUCAGUCUCCUUAGACCACAUGCCCUGGUUCCAAGAUCAGUCCUGGCUCCACGUGAUCAGUCUCCUUAGAUCACAUGCCCUGGUUCCUGGCUCCAUUGUGCGUUAGGACACUGUGUCCCAGGGACACACUCACAAACCUUGGCCAAGAGUCUGGGAAGACAAAGAUAGAUUGUGUGAAGAAGACACAGAAUGUCUAGCACAGCCCCGGGCGACCCCAGGGACCUCUGGGUCAGGCGAUGUGAGUGCCCAGCCCAAGGGAUCAGUGCCAAUAGCAGUGUCGCCCGGCCAGCUGUGUGCGCCGAGCCCAAGCCGCCCACCCAGUGCCCCGCUCCUCAGGUCCUGAGCAGCAAGGAGCAGGGAGGAAGGGCAGCUUGGGUGUCGGCAGGGCCCGGGCCCAGAGCUUUUGGUCCACAUCGUUUCUGGAAACAGUGCAGUUAAGCCCACUAGGUAAAACCCUAAGAACACUGAAAGCUGUGGUGUUCAUGUUGGAGAAAAGAGCAGCGGGGGAAAUGGUUUGGCCAGGAGGACUGCCUUUCCUUACAGAGCACCAUGGCAUCCGUAGGUGGUGGAGAAAGGGGCUUUGUCCAAAUCCUGGUGUUGGUAGGCAGUUUCCCUCCUUGGGAAAUGUCAGCUCUAUAAAUCAACACGCAGUACCACUCACUCACUGACUUGGUAUAUGUGCUGCCAAAGCGAGCACUCACUCACUGACUUUGUAAAGUUCAGUGUUCUCUUUUAAAUUCAGCGAAUCUGUCAGAUGUAGAUCUCAAGCAGUGACUACCACAGUCAAGGGACAGGACAGCUCCGUCAGCCCAACCUUCCCCUGACCCCUUUACAGCCAGUCUUCUCUCUUCGCCCAGCCCUGCGGUCCCUGCCGUCUUCGGUCCUCUGCCCAUCAUUACUGUGUCUGCGUGCCUCCGUGUGUUUAUGCGUUCUCCAGUUAGUGGACAUUUGGGCUGAUUACAGCUGUCAGCUCUUAGGGACAGAACUGCUGUAAAUAUUCAGGCUUCGCUCUCUCUGUGCAUGUCAUCAGCUUGUUAUCGUGGGUACUUUCCCAAGAGUGAGCUUAUGGUUUGUACGGUAAAUGUCUGUUUAAUUCUGUAAGACACUGUCAAAGCAUUUCCCAAAGUGGUGUACCCUCUUACAUUCCCACAGGCAGCAUAUGAGAGUCUCAGUUAACACCGUGUCCUUGCCAACACUUGAUGCUAAUAGUCUUUUCAGUUUUAUCAGUUCUAGUGAAGAUAUAAUGGUAUCCCACUGUGGCCUUUCCCAGAUGCAUUCCCCUGAUGACUAAUGAUGGUGAACAUCUUUUUAUGUGCUUACUGGGAUUCAUAUAUCUUUGGUUAAGUAUCUGGUUAAAUCGUUUGCCCAUUAAAAAAAUUCUAUUAGUAUAUGUUUGUGAUACAUAAUACUGUAAUUACAUUUGUUUUGGGAAAAUGUUUGUUUGCUCACCGUUAACACUGUCAUUAGCUGUUGGUUUUUCAUAAGUGCCCCUUAUCAGGUUGAGGAAGUCCUCUUCUAGUUCUAGUUUGCUGAGAAUUUUUAUCAUGAAUUUGUCGAAUUUUGUCAAACCCUUGUUUUCCAUCUAUGGAGAUCACCUUUGUGUUCUUCCAUUUUGAAUCUGUUUCUAUGGUGAGUCAUUGAUUGAUUUUAAAUAUUAACUGUCUUGCAUUUCUCGGAGGAACCAUUUCUUGGUACCAAUACAUUAUCUUUUUUAUAUAUCGAUGAAUUUGCUUUGCUAAUAUUUGUUCAAGAUUUUGCAUUUAUAUUUAUUAUCAAUAGGGGUCUGUAGUUUUCUACCAGUGUGAUUAUUUGGUUUGGUAUCAGGAUAAUAUUGGCCUCAUAAGUGGGAUUGAGAGUGCUCUUUCUCUUCUGGUUCCUGAAAAGGUUUGUUUAAUUCUGCUAUGGUUUCCACUAUGGGACGUAAUGUUUGCCCUGCUGGAUUUUGGACUUGCUUUGGUCCUGUUCCUUUCUAUCCGGCUGUUUGUGCCUUUGGAAUGGUAAUGUUUAACUUGUGCCAUUGCAGCCUGGCAGCAACUGGACAGGCGGCAGAGGAUCCCAAUGGAGGCCACUCCUUGCCCCGUGAAAACUAAGUCCGGGCUGGAUUUAAAGUCGAGGAGAGGAGGGCUCUGCUCACAGCAGUGCUGCGUGGGGUUGGUGACAGGUUUCUUACCUAGCGGCACUUUCCCGUUUCGGAGUGGUAGUGUUUGCUCCGAGAACAGCAGCAGCCUCCACCUAGCGCCUCUGCAUUUUCCCCUCAUUGAGCACGCGUGGGCAAGGCGUGUGGAUGUGAUUAGGCUCUGACCUCAGUCCAGGCCACUGCACGCACUCGCACUCACCGUGCUGGUUAGUGGACUGGAAAGAACCAUCAGGGGUCGCAGCACCAAUUGGCGGCUGCCCACAGCCCCGGGCAGCGCUUUCCCGUCUCCUGGGGCACACGCAGGCUCAGACUCCGCCUCCAGUCUGCAGGAAAGACCCGGGUCGGGCUGCUCUGCCUGUGCGGAAGGGUCUGCCCUGUGGGCCGGCAGGGUCAGAGCGGAGGCCAGCAGGCUGGGUGGGAGGAUGCCCCUUCUACUCCUCGGGUUCGGGGGCUGGGGGGAGCAGACUCCCUGUCUGCCUUACCUGCCGGAAACAGGGCCCUGCUCCUUGGAGAGCUGCCUCUGCUUCAGACAGGGCAGCAGGAGGAAGGCAGAGAGAAACUGCUUCUCUUGAGAAUAUGUGAAGCCAGGACUCUGCUAACCACUGGCAGGCCAAGCGUGGAGACGCACGCCUGUGACCCCAGCCCUGGGGAGGUUUCAGCAGGAGCAUCUCGAGUUAGGACCAGCCUGGGCUGCAUCGUGAGAGUCCUUGGGGGGGGGGGGGCCUCUGCCUGAAUUUGGAAGGAAAAACGCCAGACUUCCAAAAGAUCAGACCGGGCCACCUGCGCCCCGUCCCUCCUCCGCCCCCUCUCACCAGUGCAUCCUCAGCUUCUGGGGACCCAGGCAGAGGACUCAUAAGGAGCGGAACAUUGUAAGAGGCUCCAGCUAGGACUCUAGUGAGCCCUCAGACAUGGCGUGGUGUGUGACACAUAGGGUGUCACCAGACAGGGCCCAAGGAGGUCCCCUGAAGAGAGCAAGUGUUCUCCACCCGGCCCACCCAGGGCACAUUGUAGGCUCUCUGGCUUCCGUCACAGGAAAGGAACUGGGAUUGAACUCAGGAAAUUGCGCUUGCGAGGCAGGCGGCGGAACCACUGAGCUAAAUGCCCGGCCUGAAAAAAUGAUUUUUUGCUGUGGCCAAAGAGUAGAAACCCACGAAAGCUUGACGAGGCCGCGUUCCUCAGGCUGGUGUGGCGUCGGGACCAUAGAGUGCCAUUGUUUUCCCAGCCUGGGGGAGUCUAAGCUGGGGGCAGGGACAAGUUGCUUCCUGAAGGACUGGAGUUUGUUGUUCAAAACGCAAUCAGAAAAGCAUGGUGCACUUGGAACCUUCAGCAAGGCCAUCCAGGUGCGAACCCUGAACCUCCAAGACUGUGAGCUAAAUCAGCCUCUUUUCCAUAAAGUUACCAUUACAGUAACACAAAACAGACUAAAGCACCACUCAAAAAUCCUACCGAGACAGGAGAGGAGAGAAGGCCACAGAAGUAUGAAAACUGGAAAACAGCGAGCAGUAUUUGACUUGGCAGCUUGGUGACCUCAAAACCUGAAGUCAGUUCCUGUGCUGUGAGAAGCCCCUGGUAGCUGGAUUGCAGCGGACUGUGCUGCGGGCAGCUGUGAGGGGCAUGGGAUGGAGAGAAAUGCCUCAUACUGACAUGUGCCUGACCCUAACCUGCUAUCCAUCCCUCUCAUGCCAUAAAUAUCAGGAGACCCAGAAGGAAGGGAGGAAGAGGGAAGACAUUCCCCCAUGACCCAAGGUGAGUGUCUGGGCCGAAAUUCCCAGCAUAAAGAAUGAAAAAGAAAACAAACAUGUGUCCUCAUCAUCAUAGCCUUUCAGAAUCUGGGAUGGGACGAGAGCUCAGGCCUCCUGAGGAAGAAGUUAAAGUCACACCGAAGCAGUCUCCGUGACAGCCCUGGACUUCUCAGCAGGAACCCAGGAGACUGGAAGACGGUGAGAAACACUUUCUAAGAUCAUUCACCUGGCCAAGUUACUAACCGAGUGGGAAAUAAGCUUCAGCAAAAUGAGGGACUCAGCCAUGAAAGGGACAGGCUCUAGCAUGGGCAGCGGAAGGGCCAUCCGGGACCCAGCCAGAGCGAGCGAGACUGGAGGGACCAGCACCAGGAAAAGUGCUGGAUGACAGCCUGGGCAAUCUGAGCGGACACCAAAGCAAAACAAGCCCAAGGCCGUUUCUACUCCAAGAAAAAGAAGAAAGUGCCGCAGGAAGGGAUUUAAUCACAGUAUACUGUGUGUCUUCGCUGAGAGCAGUGUUUACAUAGUUUGAACACGGAGAUGAAUGUGGAUUUGGCCCAGACUGGUGUGGGCUCUUGGGAGGUGGUGGGGCAGGUGGAGAACAACUGCUGGCUGUGGUGGUGACAGGACGCUGCAGGCGCACACAGCCACGCAGCCCUCGCCACAGCCCUGAGGCAGGCGGCGGCUGCAGUCCCUGCAUUCAGUUUCUAGUUGGAGUUGCGGCUCAGAGAGGGUCAACGAUUGGCCUAAAGUUACCCAGUAUAAAGUGUUAGGGCCAGGAUUUCAACAGGCAGGGUGGUUCUAAAGUCUGAACUUUAAACCACCGUGCCUGCCUGUCUUUGGUGCAGGGAGGCAAGACAUAAUUUAAAACAUCAAGAAUCAGCAGUGGGAUUAACAGCAUGGAGAGAGAUACCUAAGGUUAACAGUCGAGGAGCUUGACAGAGUUGCCUCUGAGGAAUGAGAAAGGGUAGGGCUUUUUUUUUUUCUUGUACAGCUGUUCACAGAUUUCCUGGGACAUCUCUUCUUGGUUUUUGUCUUUUGCAGGGCUGGGGGUGGAACCCAGGGCCACACGUGUCGGCAGGCGCUCACCACUGACCUGCACCCCAGCCCAAGCCCUGUGCAGUUCUCCUGCACUGUAGUCCCCUCUCUGAAGUCUGUCCCCCGGACAACUGCCAGCAGCUGUCAUUAAAUGGCACCGGGCAGAGGGCAGUGAAACACAGGGCUUUGCAGGGGGGCCCCUACUCCCUUUCCAUUUGUGUUUGAGUCACUUGUGUCCUUAUGUAACAGUCCAUGGCCCAGACCUGGGCGAGUGUAGGUAUUUACCUUCACGUGGAGCCAGGGUUGCUGCUGUGAGUCACAGUGAGUCAUCAUGAGCAUCAUUACCCUCUAAGACCUUGAGAAAGGAAAUACGACAGGUGCCACUGUUAGAAUUCUGCUGGGCCAGACUGCCAAGGCCAAAAUGGAAAUGCAGAGCUUUCUCUCUGGUAGCUGGAUUGCAGGUGAUUAUUUUUCAUGUCUCUUUGCUCAUUGCUAUCCCUCACUUUUCUCUGAUGUUUACUGUACAAAUUUCAAAAUCCUUUUAAAAAGAUUGAAAACUUCCUGAGAAGCUGGAAGUUGUGUGGGGCAGCCCAGGCCAGGCUGUCCCCAUGUGCAAGUGACUGUAUUCUUGAAAUGAGUGCCUUUUCCCAAUACACUGCUGUUAAGGGUGCUGGAGCUCCUGGACCCUCGGCGCCCCCCCCACACCAGUGCUGAGAGGUGGUCCCAGGAGCAGCUGUUCACCAGACAGGUGUGGCCAGGAGGUCCCCACUGGGGCCUGGCCUCGAAGCUGCUCCACUUGGGAUGGUCAGGGGAGGGAGGUGUCAGGUAUGAGUCUGGUGGUCUCAGCUUGGGGGCCUUUGCUCCUGAGAGGAGGGGACAGAAGCCUGGGGAGGCCUAAGUGAGGCCAUCUGAAUGCAGUGGGCAGCUGAGAAAGCCCCCUGCAGCUCCUGCCUGAGCCAGGAAAGGCUGCGAUCAGAGGGCUCUGUGAGCCAGGCCAUUGGCCACCGGAAGUAGCACUUCUGCGAAGGGUCUGCCUGGCCAGAUGGCACGGGGUGGCUGACAUGCCCUUUCUUCUGCCAAACCAGACAGGUGUCAUAGGGCACAGGCCCCAAAGUACAAAGCAGAGCCACUGCCAAGUCCCCUCAAACACAUGGAAGAUUUUUACAGUCACAAAUAUUUGCACUUUCUUUAGACCAAGGAUUGGCAGGUACAGGUUAGUCUGGCCUGGUGUCUAUUUUCUAACAGCCCACAAGCUAAGAAUGGCUUCAAAAUCCCUUCCCUUCCUCCUUUUUUUUGUACUGGGGGAUUGAACCUGUGCACUGAGCUACAGCCCCAGCCCUUUUUUUUGAGUCUUGCUAAAUUACUAAAUUGCCCAAGCUGGGCUAGAACUUGUGAUCCUCCUGCCUCAGCCUCCCAGAGUGCUGGGAUUGCAGGUGUGCUCCACCAUGCCUGUCUGACUUGUACAUUUUUAAAUGGCUGAAAAAAAUCAAAGUAUUUCAUGACAUGUGAAAAUUGUAUGAAUUUCUAAAUUUGUGUCCAUAAAGCAAGUUUGAGUGAGACACUA